UACGUAGGAUGCAAGCGUUGUCCGGAAUUACUGGGCGUAAAGGGCGAGCAGGUGGCACUACAAGUCUGAUGUAAAAUCUCCCGGCUUAACUGGGAGGGGCCAUUGGAAACUGUAGAGCUGGAGUGCAGGAGAGGCUAACGGAAUUCCCGGUGUAGUGGUGAAAUGCGUAGAUAUCGGGAGGAGCACCAGUGGCGAAGGCGGUUAGCUGGCCUGUAACUGACACUGAGGCGCGAAGGCUAGGGGAGCGAACAGG
rnacentral:rRNA from 1 species